GAGUUUGAUCAUGGCUCAGGAUGAACGCUAGCGGCAGGCUUAACACAUGCAAGUCGAGGGGUAACAUAAAGUGCUUGCACUUUGAUGACGACCGGCGGAUGGGUGAGUAACAGGUGUACAACCUACCUUACAUUGGAGGAUAGCCCAAAGAAAUUUGGAUUAAUACUCCGUAAAGUUAUGAAGAGGCAUUUCUUUAUAAUUAGACGCAAGGAUGUAAGAUGGGUACGCCCUCUAUUAGCUGGUUGGUAAGGUAACGGCUUACCAAGGCAACGAUAGAUAGGGGCCCUGAGAGGGGUAUCCCCCACAUUGGUACUGAGACACGGACCAAACUCCUACGGGAGGCAGCAGUGAGGAAUAUUGGACAAUGGAGGCAACUCUGAUCCAGCCAUGCCGCGUGCAGGACGACGGCCCUAUGGGUUGUAAACUGCUUUUAUAGAGGACGAGAGAUACGGAUUAGUUCUGUAUAGGACGGUACUCUACGAAUAAGGAUCGGCUAACUCCGUGCCAGCAGCUGCGGUAAUACGAAGGAUCCAAGCGUUAUCCGGAAUUAUUGGGUUUAAAGGGUCCGUAGGCGGGCAAUUAAGUCAGUGGUGAAAUCUUUCGGCUCAACCGGAAGCUUGCCGUUGAAACUGGUAGUCUAGAGUCAUUGUGCAGUGGUUGGAACGUGCAGUGUAGUGGUGAAAUACAUAGAUAUUGCGCAGAACACCGAUUGUGAAGACAGAUCACUAACAAUGUACUGACGCUGAAGGACGAAAGCGUGGGGAGCAAACAGGAUUAGAUACCCUGGUUAGUCCACGCCGUAAAGGAUGGUCACUAGGUGUUUGGUUUAAUUGAGGGCUGAGUGGUUGAGGGAAAGUAUUAAGUGACCCACCUGGGGAGUACGUUCGCAAGAAUGAAACUCAAAGGAAUUGACGGGGGCCCGCACAAGCGGUGGAGCAUGUGGUUUAAUUCGAUGAUACGCGAGGAACCUUACCAGGGCUUAAAUGUAGAUUGACAGUUUAGGAAACUAGACCUUCUUCGGACAAUUUACAAGGUGCUGCAUGGUUGUCGUCAGCUCGUGCCGUGAGGUGUCAGGUUAAGUCCUAUAACGAGCGCAACCCUUUUCGUUAGUUACCAGCGAGUAAUGUCGGGGACUCUAGCGAUACUGCCGGUGCAAACCGUGAGGAAGGUGGGGAUGACGUCAAAUCAUCACGGCCCUUACGUCCUGGGCUACACACGUGCUACAAUGGAUGGGACAGAGAGCAGCCACUGGGCGACCAGGAGCGAAUCUACAAACCCAUUCUCAGUUCGGAUCGAAGUCUGCAGCCCGACUUCGUGAAGCUGGAAUCGCUAGUAAUCGCAGAUCAGCCAUGCUGCGGUGAAUACGUUCCCGGGCCUUGUACACACCGCCCGUCAAGCCAUGGAAGCCGGGGGUGCCUGAAGUUCGUUUCCGCAAGGAGCGACCUAGGGUAAAACUGGUAACUGGGGCUAAGUCGUAACAAGGUA
rnacentral:rRNA from 1 species